GCCGGGUGCGGUGGCGCGCGCCUGUAAUCCAAGCUACCGGGAGGCUGAGGCUGGCGGAUCGUUUGAGCUCAGGAGCUCUGAGCUGCAGCGGACUAUGCCGAUCGGGUGUCCGCACUAAGUUCGGUAUCGAUAUGGUGCUCCUGGGGGAGCCCGGGACCACCAGGUCGUCUAAGGAGGGGUGCACCGGCCCAGGUCGGAGACGGAGCAGGUCAAAGCCCCCGUGCCGCUCAGUAGUGGGAUCGCGCCUGUGAAUAGACGCUGUAGUGCAGCCUGAGUAAUACAGCGGGACCCAGUCUUUU
ensembl:misc_RNA Metazoa_SRP Metazoan signal recognition particle RNA